CCAAAUUUUAUAAAAUUUAAAUGCCAUUUAAUUAAGAGGUCAAGUGGGCAAGUGGGUAGAAAAGCACUCAAGUACCUUGUGAUAUUUUGAAGAGUAUUGUGAGCAAUUCCCACACUAAGAACCGAUCACUCUCCAUCUCUCAUUCACUAUCAUCUUUUUUGAAGACCUCUCAAAGUGUUCUCUCCAUUUUUCAAGCCCAAGAACACCAAGGAAACUUUGAGGCUAAGUCUUGGUCUAGGAAGUAUUUUCCCUAAGUUGGUUAGGGUUUUUGAAAGGUUUUGGAGGAGCCAAAGCUAAUAGGAAGGUCCAAACCUUAAGCAAGAACACCAAAGAGUAUUGGCUAAGCGUAACUGGACUGAACGUUGGAGGGUGAAAACUUGCUGAGCGCUAAGGACUCCAAUAGAUUAUAUUUGUUGACGCCAUUUCGGAGGGAGCCCAGGAGGAUAGCCAUGCUAUUCGUCCUGAGGAAUCCGGUGCUGCAGGUGCUGAGAAGGCCAAGGAGACUUCUCUUCCUCGACUCUGAUCUCGGGGAAACCAUUUAUUGGGGCUGCGUCCCCUUAUUUCUGUAAUUAUUUUAAUUUAUGCCCUCGGGGCUGAUACAAUUUCUUUAAAUAUUACUUAUGUAUGCUUUACAUUUCUUGGCUCGAAAUAUUUAGCACAUUUUAUAUUGAUGAAUCAGUUAUGUUUAUUUAGUCAUACAAACAUAUUGUGGAUUUAGGUUCGAAGCUCAAUGCAUUCAUGCACAGUUUGUUCAAAUUAUCCGCUUCCGACCUCAUUAUUUUUCAAAGUCGGAUAUUACUCCAACCAUGAACCCAAAAGUACUUAUAUGGUAUGUAAUGUGGAUGGUUUGGUUAUAUCUUUUUUGCUUAGUCACUUUUUCUCAUCCUCGGUUUUUGCUCCAAGGUUAAGAGUUCGAAACUGUCUUCUUUAAGAUAUUCCAGCCUCGAUUUCGAAGUACGUUUAGGUUCUUACUUACCAUCGAUUAAUUAAAUUUUUUUUUCUUUUUUGGCUGGUUUGUUCCA